rnacentral:rRNA from 1 species
GACGAACGCUGGCGGCGUGCUUAACACAUGCAAGUCGAACGGAAAGGCCCCUUUGGGGGUACUCGAGUGGCGAACGGGUGAGUAACACGUGAGUAACCUGCCCUUGACUUCGGGAUAACUUCAGGAAACUGGGGCUAAUACCGGAUAGGAAUCCUUGCUGCAUGGUGGGGGUUGGAAAGCUUCGGCGGUUUUGGAUGGACUCGCGGCUUAUCAGCUUGUUGGUGGGGUAGUUGCUUACCAAGGCUUUGACGGGUAGCCGGCCUGAGAGGGCGACCGGCCACAUUGGGACUGAGAUACGGCCCAGACUCCUACGGGAGGCAGCAGUGGGGAAUAUUGCACAAUGGGCGGAAGCCUGAUGCAGCAACGCCGCGUGCGGGAUGACGGCCUUCGGGUUGUAAACCGCUUUCAGCAGGGGCGAAGCUUGUGGUGACGGUACCUGCAGAAGAAGCACCGGCUAACUACGUG